rnacentral:lncRNA from 1 species
AUGAAUCACAGGACUCCACGGGAAAGUAGCAGAUGUUGACUUUUACUUCUUUUAAGCCAACGUCAGCCCUCUCCUGUGGAGCGGGGAGCAGGCAGGAAGGCAGAAGACAAGGAGAGCAAGCAGGAGCAGCCCUCCCAGGACGCUGCCAACCAGGAUCCACAGGGAGAUGAGGCCACAAGUAAGAGUGGUUCCAAGAAGAGGAGCCCGGAGAGCAGUGAGUCAGCAGAUGGAGGGUUCCACACACUCUGGCCCAGACUCACAUUGCCAGAGAUGACUUGAGAUAGUGACAGGAAGUAGUUACCCCCAUGGGCUACAGCUGGAAGGAGGGCUGAGACAACGAGACCACUGACCACAUGGCAACCAAGGUUCUGAACCUGGGAGAAGAAUGAGAGACAGGACCUGCUU